rnacentral:rRNA from 1 species
UGGGGAAUCAUGGUCAAUGGGCGAAAGCCUGAACCUGCGACGCCGCGUGAGUGAUGAAGGUCGUAAGAUCGUAAAACUCUUUUCAGGGAUCUUAAAGCCUGUCUGUCAACAACAGGCAGGUCUGACUCUCCCUGGAAGAAGCCCCAGCCAACUACGUACCAGCAGCUGCGGUAAUACGUAGGGGGCGAGCGUUAUUCGGAAUUACUGGGUGUAAAGGGUAUGUAGGCGGCCCUUCAAGGCGCGUGUCAAAGUCCAGUGCUCAACGCUGGGUGUGCGCGCGAUACUGACGGGCUUGAGGGCUGGAGAGGUGAGCGGAAUUCCCGGUGUAGUGGUAAAAUACGUAGAGAUCGGGAGGAACACCAGCGGCGCAGGCGGCUCACUAGACAGUUUCUGACGCUAAGAUACGAAAGCGUGGGGAGCAAACA